UCUUUAUCAACCAAAACUGGUUACACUUAGCUGUGUAUUAAAAGGGAAUCGUGUGCAAAUCACGAACUGUCGCGCAACUGUAAGUAACACACCAAGGUUUUUAUCACAUCAUGUCCACUGUUUGCUCUGUAAAUGGGAAGGAAGAUAAAAACUGUUACAAGUCAGGAGACCUGCCUGUUUUGAAUUGACGAU
rfam:Chryseobacterium indologenes NBRC 14944 DNA, contig: CIN01S10.